rnacentral:snoRNA from 1 species
UGGAUAGUGAAGAUCUACUGAUGCAUAAUCCAACACUUGAUCCGAUGCCGGCUUCUGCUGAGCGUGUGAUGCACGGACAUAUCUGCAUCUGAAUCCU